GGCUAGGCCUCAGCCUUUCCGUGUGGGCGCGCUGGGCGCACGCGAGAAAUGGUCACAUCUGAAGAUUUACCAAGGCACUUCAUUCAAAAUGUAAGACUGCUCCUCUGCCAGAAGAAUUGUCAAGAAAGUGUCUGCGUUCAUUAGAUGCUGCAGUGCGCUUCACGGGGUUUGUAGGAUGGUUGACAGGAGAAAACUGCUGUCCAUAGAUGAUGAAUUUCUGGGUAUGUAAUGUGAAUAUGAGCAUGUCAUUUCCCCUGAAUGAUGACUUGGGCUAACUGUAUUGCUUUUAACUUUUUUUUUUUGUGUAGUCCUCAAUGUUUCAGAAGUCUUGUUUUUGAAUAAAUUUAUUCUUUAAAACGGUG